ACAACAAGACGCUCUCAGUAGAGGAACUUGUGUUCCGUUUGUAUUGUUAACUAGAAAUGGUUGGUAUGUGAUUCGCACCUGCGUUGAACACUUGCAUAGACGACUGCCUUUUUCAUUCACUUGUUUGUUAGUCUUGAGAUCCCGUGUCUUUUUUGUGUGAAAAUGUAACGAUGAACUAAGUUUAAUUUUCGCUUUAUCUUUCUUUUUUUUUUGUUCGUUUAAAUAUCAUAACAAUUAUCAAGGGCUCAACAAAACCUAUUUUAAUUUACUUACCAGCUGGGUAGUAUUUUAGGGCUUGUAUUAGUAUGACAAGUAAAUUUAAAAAAAAUGUUCGUAUGCUCGUACUGCUAAAAAUCUAAACUCAUAUUCUCCAGACCCCAGGUGGCACGAGUGUCUUCGUGAGUGGGACUAAAUUCCGCCAUUUGUUUCUCAGACACUGAGUGAAAAUGUAUUCCAAAUGCAUUACGGAUUUACGGGCGUCGUUCUUCAUUUUCAGUCAAGAGAUUAUAAAGGAAGGAGAUCCCUUUACUUUACUAUCGAAGAAUUUGAGAACACGCAAAAUCUGAACUUCAUUGCUGUCUUUCGUGCUAAUGAUUUUGUUGCAACCAACUGGUGAAAGGUGUGAUCAAGUUGAGCUGCAGCUGCUGCAUCUAUUUAGCUACCUACAUUCAUCAGUCUAUAGUGUUAUCCUGAAGUGUGGAAGCAUAACCCAACUGCAAUUGGACAAAGAUUUAUUGAAAUGUCUGUGGCAAGGUGUUUUCCAACUGUAUGAUGCUGUUCAAUAUGCAGUGGUUUUUCAGCCAUUUCCAGUUCAAGCUGUUGCAUGCUGUCUGUGGUGCUGGUGUUAUCCUGAAAAUGUGUUGAUUGUCAAUAUCUAAGUGUGUAAUGCCUGUGGGACGUACCGAGAUGAUUGGACGCGACUGAAGAAGAGUUUAUGAUGUAGAUGUAGACAAGUGCAUAUCUGGGCUCCCUUCUUUUCUGUGGCCCCGUUUCCCUAACUAACCACUAACCAACGCCCGCCGGUGGUCACUCACCCGCUGUGAAACCAGGAGGAGGGGAGGGCUCUGGUCGAA